GUUGUGCUGCGCUGCUCUGCUUUGCGCUGCGCUGCGGGCGCGGCUCGGCGCCCCGCGGGUUGGGUCGUUGCUUCCUGUCGCGUUGUUGUUGUUGACAUGGGAACCGACAUCGCUUUCUGUUCCAGAGAGUUGGAAGCUAAAGCUACCAAAGAAGUCGAAAGAAAACUAAGCAGGGAUUUAGUGCAAGAAGAGGAAGAACAGUUGAUGGAAGAAAGGAAAAAGAGAAAAGAAGACAAGAAGAAGAAGGAAGCUGCUCAAAAAAAGGUAUGUUGUGUUUAAAAAAAAAAAAGGGUACUUGUGGAUUUUGCUUUAUUAGUAGUAAAUAGUGUUUGAUCAGUUCUUUAACAACAGUGUUUUCUUAAUUUUUUUUAAUGCUUUAUAUGUGCUGUCAGUUAUGUAAUGGUAACUGACAUCUUGAACAUCUUAACUGGCUUUGUGUACAGAUUAUUUAGAGACUAAAUAUUCUUCUGAGAUGACCGCUCACUUUCCUGAUUCUGGUCUCAAGCUGAAAGCUUCCUCUGUCAGUUCUCCCUGUUUGUUGGCCUAAACAAAGGUGUUCCCUGUGCACUAAUGGAAAAUUAGGUAUGUCUGAUCUUACAGCAAACCUAAGUUAAAUCGUAUGUAAAGGCUGCUUCUGAAAAAGGUGAGGUGUUUGCUCAUGUUCCAAAGGGAGAGCUUCCCUAAUCUUUUCAAUAAGUGACAGCAAAACUGCAUAGUAAUUUUUGGAUCUCAGUUGUAAAAGUAUAACUCAUUUUCCUCUUGAAAUUUUUAAUCAGAGGUUGAAAGGCAACUAGUUUACUUAAAGAAUGUAAAUCUUUUAAGAGGUUCUCUUAGCCCC
rnacentral:lncRNA from 1 species